rnacentral:rRNA from 1 species
UACGAACCGUCCAAACGUUAUUCGGAAUUACUGGGCUUAAAGGGUGCGUAGGCGGCCCGGUAAGUUGGGUGUGAAAUCCCUCGGCUCAACCGAGGAAUUGCGCCCAAAACUGCCGGGCUCGAGGAAGAUAGAGGUGAGCGGAACUUAGGGUGGAGCGGUGAAAUGCGUUGAUAUCCUAAGGAACACCGGUGGCGAAAGCGGCUCACUGGGUCUUUUCUGACGCUGAGGCACGAAAGCUAGGGGAGCGAAGAGGAUUAGAUACCCCCGUAGUCC